rnacentral:rRNA from 1 species
UGACGAGCGGCGGACGGGUGAGUAAUGUCUGGGAAACUGCCUGAUGGAGGGGGAUAACUACUGGAAACGGUAGCUAAUACCGCAUAACGUCGCAAGACCAAAGAGGGGGACCUUCGGGCCUCUUGCCAUCAGAUGUGCCCAGAUGGGAUUAGCUAGUAGGUGGGGUAACGGCUCACCUAGGCGACGAUCCCUAGCUGGUCUGAGAGGAUGACCAGCCACACUGGAACUGAGACACGGUCCAGACUCCUACGGGAGGCAGCAGUGGGGAAUAUUGCACAAUGGGCGCAAGCCUGAUGCAGCCAUGCCGCGUGUAUGAAGAAGGCCUUCGGGUUGUAAAGUACUUUCAGCGGGGAGGAAGGUGUUGAGGUUAAUAACCUCAGCAAUUGACGUUACCCGCAGAAGAAGCACCGGCUAACUCCGUGCCAGCAGCCGCGGUAAUACGGAGGGUGCAAGCGUUAAUCGGAAUUACUGGGCGUAAAGCGCACGCAGGCGGUCUGUCAAGUCGGAUGUGAAAUCCCCGGGCUCAACCUGGGAACUGCAUCCGAAACUGGCAGGCUUGAGUCUUGUAGAGGGGGGUAGAAUUCCAGGUGUAGCGGUGAAAUGCGUAGAGAUCU